rnacentral:lncRNA from 1 species
CACCAAGAGGUGCCACUUCUAGCUCUGAUAAUGAUCGGGGCACUCUCAAUGUUUUUACUAUCCCUUGAGAUUCCGAGGUAUCUUCAAAUGCUGAUGUGGGUAUGUUGAGACUUUUCCCUGCGAUGUCUAAUAUUUGCUUGAUCCGGGGUCUACACUUUCUUAUGUGACCUUAUAUGUGGCUGUGUAUCUUUAAUAUGGUCCUGAGA